CGCGAAGGUGACGAGAGUCCUCGAUAGCACACGCCUCAACAAAAGGACUUCGCCGGGCUCAUAACCCGGAGGUCGUGGGUCCAAAUCCCACCCCUGCAACCA
rnacentral:tRNA from 1 species